rnacentral:rRNA from 1 species
UACGUAGGGACCGAGCGUUGUUCCGGGAAUCAUUGGGCGUUAAAGAGCGUGUAAUGGCGGCCACUUAAGUCCUGCGUGAAAUCUUGCGGCUCAACCGCAAGCGGUCGUGGGAAACUGGGUUGGCUAGAGUGCGGGAGAGGAGAGUGGAAUUCCUGGUGUAGCGGUGAAAUGCGUAGAGAUCGGGAGGAACAUCAGUGGCGAAGGCGGCCAUCUGGGACAACACUGACGCUGAGGCACGAAAGCGGUGGGGAGCAAACAGGA